GCCAGUGUGGUGUAAUGGCUUGAGUGUUGGACUAUGACUCUAGAGACUAGGGUUCAAUUCCCAACUCGGGCA